rnacentral:misc_RNA from 1 species
CAAGGUCAAAGAGUUGGAUGUAUCCACAGAUGAUGCAGUGGAUAAAGGUGCAGUUGAAGAAAAACCUGUGGAAUUUGUGGAGAAGAAAGAAGAGCCAGAAGCUAAGGUCGUCCUGGUUGCUUCAGUGCCAGAGACAGGGAAGGGGGACGGACUUGCAGGGAAAGAUAAAGCAGAGAAACAUGAAGAGAAGUCAGAGACAGAGAAAGCUGAGAAAGAGGAAAGCGAAAGUCAGGUUGUCUUGCUGCCAGUAUCCAUUCCCAAAGAAGAGGUUCCAGCUGUGAAAGAGGUCAAGGAUGGAGAGUUCGUAUCAGAGAAUGGCAGCCAUAUAGGCAGCCAAGAGAUUGCAACCCCUGGGG